rnacentral:rRNA from 1 species
UACAGAGGUCUCAAGCGUUGUUCGGAUUCAUUGGGCGUAAAGGGUGCGUAGGUGGCGUCGUAAGUCGGGUGUGAAAUUUCGGAGCUUAACUCCGAAACUGCAUUCGAUACUGCGGUGCUUGAGGACUGGAGAGGAGACUGGAAUUUACGGUGUAGCAGUGAAAUGCGUAGAGAUCGUAAGGAAGACCAGUGGCGAAGGCGGGUCUCUGGACAGGUACCGACGCUGAGACGCGAAAGCGUGGGAAGCAAACAGG